UGGCUCAUAUCUAUUAACCAAAUGAUUCAUACAAUUUACUAACAAAUCUUAUCAAAAAGAAGUAGCAAAAACAGUCUUAUAGAAAAUACUAUUAUAUAGGGCUUAUUUCUUUUUUAAAAAAUGAUUUAAUUAUCAUUAGUUCACUAGUUGUUGCUAAAAGUACAAAACAAAAUAAAAAUGGGUGGUUGCUGCAGUACUAGAAAAUCAGUAGAUUUAGUGGGUACACCUCCCGGCCCCAAUAAAAGAGUUGUGGCCGAUCGUGCUCCUCCCAUGGAUUAUUCAAACGCCAGCACCACUAUUGUGGAUGGAGGUGUUACAAAUAAAGCUUUAGAUACGGAUUAAUUGAAAUGAAAAUGUUUUAGUUAAUUUACUUUUGGGAAUAUUUCCCAGUUUUUGAAAACUUAGAAUUGUUAUUGUUGUGUUUGAUAAAAUAAUAAAUUUUCUAAUUAUUUGAUAAA